GGGAACUUGGAACUAAUAUAGUGUAGUAAUACUUACAUUACUUAGCUACUGGCUUGUGCUAUUUCAGCAACACUAAAUAGCCCUAAAGCCAGCUUAACCAGCAUCCUGAGGAUUCCCCCUGCACUAAGGAAUUCAGUAGUGCUGUAGAGCAGAGGUUCUCAAACUGUGGUCUGCGGACCACCAGUGGUCUGCGAGCUCCAUUCAGGUGGUCCAUGGAUAUUUCCCUCUAAGGUGCGCGCCUGGGUGGUUGCACACGAGAGAAUGAAGGGCCACUCACCUAAUUAAUGGAGCCGCGCAGGGCUAGAUCCUGGAGAAGACACAAACGUAAGGCAUGUGCAUUCCUUCUGCAGAAGUUUCUGGUAGUUCUCAUUGCAGUGGCUCUUUGGACAUGACAAAGAAAAAACCUGUCUUCGGAUACCUCACUCAAGAGAUUGGGGCCCCACCAGAGAGGGGAAAAUAGGAAAAGAAACAGGAACUUCUUUGUGAAACAAAAUCACCACAGAACUGAGAGAAGAAGUGAAAUUAAGGAAGUGUUAUCUUUUGCCUAACAAAAGAAGGUCCGCAGAAAACAAACCAUUGUGGAACAUCAGAAGAGAAAAGCUUUGUGGAUUGCUCCCUCUCCCCUACUCCAUGAAGAGGAGAUGUGCACCUGAAUUCCUCUCAACAGCUGAAUUUACAACUAGAAGCAGAAGGGGGAAAGGAAUCAAAACCCCUAACAACAAGGAACUGUAUCGUUUAUGCUGCUUGGACUCUGAAGGGAAAGGAUUAUUAACAAAAGCAAAAGAUAAGCAAAAAAUCCCCAGUGCUUAGCCUGGGUUAGCCCUAAAGGACAUCUA